rnacentral:rRNA from 1 species
AAUAUUGGACAAUGGGGGCAACCCUGAUCCAGCCAUGCCGCGUGUGUGAAGAAGGUCUGCGGAUUGUAAAGCACUUUAAGUUGGGAGGAAGGGCUUUAGGUUAAUACCCUGAAGUCUUGACGUUACCAACAGAAGAAGCACCGGCGAACUUUAUGCCAGCAGCCGCGGUAAUACAGAGGGUGCAAGCGUUAAUCGGAAUUACUGGGCGUAACGCGCGCGUCUGUGGUUCAGUAAGAUGGGUGUGAAAUCCCCGGGCUUAACCUGGGAACUGCUUUCAUAACUGCUGAGCUAGAGUACGGUAGAGGGUAGUGGAAUUUCCUGUGUAGCGGUGAAAUGCGUAGAUAUAGGAAGGAACACCAGUGGCGAAGGCGACUACCUGGACUGAUACUGACACUGAGGUGCGAAAGCGUGGGGAGCAAAC